UACGUAGGGCGCAAGCGUUGUCCGGAAUUAUUGGGCGUAAAGAGCUCGUAGGCGGUUUGUCGCGUCUGCUGUGAAAACCUGAGGCUCAACCUCGGGCUUGCAGUGGGUACGGGCAGACUAGAGUGCGGUAGGGGUGACUGGAAUUCCUGGUGUAGCGGUGGAAUGCGCAGAUAUCAGGAGGAACACCGAUGGCGAAGGCAGGUCACUGGGCCGCAACUGACGCUGAGGAGCGAA
rnacentral:rRNA from 1 species